rnacentral:rRNA from 1 species
AGCGAACGCUGGCGGCAGGCUUAACACAUGCAAGUCGAGCGGGCCCUUCGGGGUCAGCGGCAGACGGGUGAGUAACACGUGGGAACGUACCCUUUGGUUCGGAAUAACGCUGGGAAACUAGCGCUAAUACCGGAUACGCCCUUUUGGGGAAAGGCUUGCUGCCGAAGGAUCGGCCCGCGUCUGAUUAGCUAGUUGGUGGGGUAAUGGCCUACCAAGGCGACGAUCAGUAGCUGGUCUGAGAGGAUGAUCAGCCACACUGGGACUGAGACACGGCCCAGACUCCUACGGGAGGCAGCAGUGGGGAAUAUUGGACAAUGGGCGCAAGCCUGAUCCAGCCAUGCCGCGUGAGUGAUGAAGGCCUUAGGGUUGUAAAGCUCUUUUGGCCGGGACGAUAAUGACGGUACCGGAAGAAUAAGCCCCGGCUAACUUCGU